rnacentral:rRNA from 1 species
CGUGUAGGCGGUCAUUUAAGUCUGGAGUGAAAGUCCUGCAUUCAAUGUGGGAAUUGCUUUGGAUACUGGAUGACUUGAGUGCGGAAGAGGUAAGUGGAAUUCCCAGUGUAGCGAUGAAAUGCGUAGAGAUUGGGAGGAACACCAGUGGCGAAGGCGACUUACUGGGCCGUAACUGACGCUGAGGCGCGAAAGCGUGGGGAGCGAACAG